CAGGAUAUGUAAAGUUACAGGGAACAAGUGAGAACCUCCUCAGCUUGGUUUCUGAAUCUUUUUGACAUGCUUUCUGGUAUGAUAAUUUGGUCCAGGCUUAUCUGGUACAAUCCUGACCCCAGAUCUGGAAUCAACUGUCUCUCUAAGACAGCCUGGUUUCUUUUCAUGCCUGUGUGUGCCUUUAUAGGUGAAGUGUAUUUCUUACAGACAACAAUCCUUGGGUCUUGUUUUUAAAUCUAUUCAGCC